rnacentral:tRNA from 1 species
GGCUUCAUAGCUCAUUUGGUUGGAGCAUUGCACCGGCAUUGCAGAUGUCAUGGGUUCGAAUCACAUUGAAGAUA